rnacentral:rRNA from 1 species
GACGUAGGGGACGAGCGUUGUCCGGAUUCAUUGGGCGUAAAGCGCACGUAGGCGGCUUGGUAUGUCGGGUGUGAAAUCCCCGGGCUCAACCUGGGAACUGCAUCCGAAACUGCCUUGCUAGAGUAUGGGAGAGGGAAGUGGAAUUUCCGGUGUAGCGGUGAAAUGCGUAGAUAUCGGAAGGAACAUCAGUGGCGAAGGCGACUUCCUGGACCAAUACUGACGCUCAGGUGCGAAAGCGUGGGGAGCAAACAGG